rnacentral:rRNA from 1 species
GCAUUGGAUUGAGAACAACGUACAAACCUUAUCGAUAAACAAUUGGAGGGCAAGUCUGGUGCCAGCAGCCGCGGUAAUUCCAGCUCCAAUAGCGUAUAUUAACGUUGUUGCAGUUAAAAAGCUCGUAGUUGAAAUGAAGGGUGGUUGUGUAAUGAAUACAUUCGUGUAUUUUGUUAUUCUACCACCCUCCUUCUAAAUUCGAUAUAUGAGUAUUAAUUUACUUGUAUAUGGUUUUAGACCUUUACUGUGAGAAAAUUAGAGUGUUCAAAGCAGGCAUUUGCUUGAAUAUAUUAGCAUGGAAUAAUCAUGUAUGAUUUUCAUGAUGUAUUUGAUUGGUUUGGUUCAUGAGAAUAAGAUUAAAAGGGACAGUUGGGGGUAUUCAUAUUCAAUAGUCAGAGGUGAAAUUCUCGGAUUUAUGGAAGAUGAACAAGUGCGAAAGCAUUUACCAAGGAUGUUUUCAUUAAUCAAGAACGAAAGUUAGGGGAUCGAAGAGGAUUAGAUAC